ACAAGAUGGCAUCGUGUCCGUCCAUCCAUCCAUCCAUCCUACGAGUAAUUUCCACAUUGACUAGAUUAUCCUUAGGGUUGGCUUCCUUGGCGAGUCACCCCCUUUUCGCUUCAGGUGAGAGGAGCACCGACGGAGAUCGUCGAGGGUUCGCGAGGAGUUCCGAAGAGAUGAGGGCGUAGCAAAAUUGACACAAAGUAGACAAUUAUAGCAAUGAGUUGCAUUUGGUUUUCAAGGCGAAUCAGCAUCACUAACAGGGCUGCUCAAUUGGUGGGUGUGAGAGGGUUCGCAAUAGCUAGUGGCAAGGGAAAGAAGGGCCCGAAAGGUGGCGCUAAUGAUGCGCCUAAAGCUUCACUUAUGAGCCAUGAAGUAAAGAGCACAACAGUCGUUGGAGCCAAUAUCCUCAAGGAUGGUACUGAUCCGAAGAUAAUGCCCGAUUCUGAGCACCCAGACUGGCUGUGGCGCUUGCUAGACAAACGCCCAACGCUGAGUGAACUGCGGCGGAAGGACUCGGAAUCUCUCCCAUUUGAAGACCUUAAACGCUUCGUGAAGCUGGAUAACCGUGCCCGAAUCGAGGGAAACAAUGCUGCCAGAGCUAAAAAAUGAAGUUUAUACUAGGAUGUUGCCAUUGUUGGCUGUUUUCUGCAGUGUAAUCCCGUUAUGUUUAGAAAUGUCAUUUGUUAAGCUUCACUCUGCGGUAUAAUCCAGUUUGUAGUGGUUUCUCAUGACAUUGUCAUGAUGCAACUAAAUUAUUUUCCAUGGAAUUUAUACUCUGAGAAGGCAGAAUCACUUGUA